rnacentral:tRNA from 1 species
GGGUGAUUAGCUCAGCUGGGAGAGCACCUCCCUUACAAGGAGGGGGGGGCGGUUCGAUCCCGUCAUCACCCA